UUUCGUUUGGGACGGAGGGAGUAUUAUUUUUAAAGUACACAAACUACAAAUAAAAUAACAAAAAAUAAAAAAAUUGUUAAAAAAUUACAAAAAAACUACAAUAUGGAGAAAACAAUAAAACUGACUAAAUUAUUUUAUACUUGAAUCAAAAUUUAUAAAUAAAUUAAUUUUUAAAAAAAAUUAACCUUAUUUUUGUCCGGACAAAUUUUGUCCAAAUAGCACUACUCA
rnacentral:lncRNA from 1 species